AUACGGAGGGUGCAAGCGUUAUUCGGAAUCACUGGGCGUAAAGGACGCGUAGGCGGGUUGGCAAGUCAGAUGUGAAAUCCUACAGCUUAACUGUAGAACUGCAUUUGAAACUGCUAACCUCGAGGAUGGGAGGGGGAGAUGGAAUUAGUGGUGUAGGGGUAAAAUCCGUAGAUAUCACUAGGAAUACCGAAAGCGAAGGCGAUCUCCUGGAACAUAACUGACGCUAAGGCGUGAAAGCGUGGGGAGCAAACAGGAUUAGAUACCCUAGUAGUCC
rnacentral:rRNA from 1 species